rnacentral:rRNA from 1 species
GCUUACGGCCAUACCACCCUGAGAACGCCCGAUCUCGUCCGAUCUCGGAAGCUAAGCAGGGUCGGGCCUGGUUAGUACUUGGAUGGGAGACCGCCUGGGAAUACCAGGUGCUGUUAGCU